AUGGCUGUCGUCAGCUCGUGUCGUGAGAUGUUGGGUUAAGUCCCGCAACGAGCGCAACCCCCGUGUUCUGUUGCCACCCAGAUGUAAAUCUGGAGCACUCUGGACAGACUGCCUGGUUUCAACUAGGAGGAAGGUGGGGAUGACGUCAAGUCAGUAUGGCCCUUACGGCCAGGGCUGCACACGUACUACAAUGCCUGAUAUAAUGGGAAGCAAGACCGCGAGGUGGAGCAAAUCCUCAAAAUCAGGCCCAGUUCAGAUUGUAGGCUGCAACUCGCCUACAUGAAGGAGGAAUCGCUAGUAAUGCCGUAUCAGCUACGACGGCGUGAAUACGUUCCCAGGCCUUGUACACACCGCCCGUCAAGCCAUGGAAGCUGGGAGUGCCUGAAGUCGGUCACCGCAAGGAGCCGCCUAGGGUAAAACUGGUAACUAGGGCUAAGUCGUAACAAGGUAGCCGUAGGGGAACCUGCGGCUGGAUCACCUCCUUUCUGGAGAUGCCGAGUAAGAUUUCCGAACCUUUCGGGGAGGCGAAAUUCGAAAAGCUCUCACAGGUCUACCCGCUCAACUACACUCAAAACCUCGAUCUUCAUAUAAAAUGGCCAGGUGCAUGCAUUCAGGUGUACCAGGUCAUGCUGUUUGACAACAAAGGUCGAGAGAUGAAGUGAGAGCCUUAGGUGGCCCUGAACUUUUUAUUUGUCCGAGUUCAGGUGCCAAAUCUAUUGAAGUAUUAGCUGUGACGGCUUUUUGGUGAAAGCAAACUGGAAUAGGGGAUUGAACUUCCCGUUCACACAUGGAGCUCGGGUGCUCAGGCAUUUGAGAUCCGCGUGGGAUUCUGGUCAAGUAAGUAAGUGCGCAGUGGUGGAUGCCUAGGUACGUGUCGGCGAUGAAGGACGUGGCAAGCUGCGAUAAGCCUCGGGGAGCUGCAAGCAAGCUUAGAUCCGGGGAUGUCCGAAUGGGGAAACCCGG
rnacentral:sRNA from 1 species